CAGCGUCACGAGUGGCAACCGUAUUUAUUGGGCCUAAAGCGUCCGUAGCCGGUUUGAUAAGUCUUUUGUGAAAUCGUUGAGCUUAACUUAACGGUGUGCAAGAGAUACUGUCAGACUUGGAAUUGGGAAGAGUUAGAGGUAUUCUGGGGGGAGCGGUAAAAUGCUAUAAUCCCUGGAGGACCACCAGUGGCGAAAGCGUCUAACUAGAACAAAUUCGACGGUGAGGGACGAAAGCCAGGGGAGCAAAACGGAUUAGAUACCCGCGUAGUCC
rnacentral:rRNA from 1 species